GCCAACAACCCCUGAGAUCAAGAAUCUUCAUAGGUGGCGGAGGGUUGAACACAUAGAGCCCGGUAUUAGUGAGCACACCAUCACGAAUCCCCAGGGUUACCAAGCUUGUAAUAGACGACAACUGAUGCAAAGUGGUGUCAGCAAGGGAACCACUCCGUAAAAAUAAAUGGCUCAAUUUACGAAAGCUCGGCAAAGGAGCCAAAGCUGAAUCCUUGAUUCGAG
rnacentral:misc_RNA from 1 species